GUCAGUCCACAGCAGAACAUCAGUCAGACAUCAGAUCAGAAACAAAGUGAAGAUGUUUAUACUCCGCUGCAGUUUGUACAUGCUGAUAUUUAUGACUCUAUUGGUGCAACAGAUAAUAAAGACAAAAGCUCAGUGACUUCCCGAGUGCCGGCCUGAGUGAUGCCUAUUCACAGACAAUGUAAGUGAAUCAGAGAGGAGAUAAAGAUUGCUUCUGGAUCUAUUUAUGUGACUUAAAACAUGAGAAAGAGGAGAAAAAGACGGCAAUACAUUAACUAAUGCUUAAUAUUAUUAAUACAAACCUUCAUGUGCUUCAGAGUCAAAUCUUGCAAAUAUUUGAAUCUCUAAUAGCAAACGAUUUUGUGUCAUUAACAGCAGUGUAAUGAUUUCAGACAGACUGUAAAGUAGAUGGAAAUAUGAGAGUUAUGAGAAAGUUAUCUUUUUAUAAUCUUUUUAUAUGUUGACUUGAUGUUUAAUUGUUUAACAGGUGAUAUUCAUACGAUAGCUAGUUAGUUACAGUCAUAACAUUUGUUCUCAGCUACUGAAGUGUCUUGUGAUAAUUUUGGCCUUUGCCAGUUACAAUCACCUGGAGAGUAAAGAAAACAGGAUUGAUUAUUAUCAUUAUGUCUUGAUCUGAGAAGUUUAAAGAUAACAUGACUGUAAAUAUGUUGAAAGGAUACUCCAGCCAAAUAUCAAAAUUAUCCCAUGAUUUAUUCACCAUCAAGCAAUCCAAGACACAUAUAUCCAUCAUCUUUUUCUCUUUUCAAAGAUUGAACUCUUUUGGCUCGGCUCCCUUAGAAGAGUCGACUCCUAAAUGGUUUUUCAUUAAGUAUCACUCAGAGCCUUCUAUUUUAGCCCAAUUUACCAGUUGUGAAUGUUUUGUCUGUUGGUAGGCAAUUUUUAAUUCAGUGUUUUCAUAACAGCCUCAUUUUUAUGCAUUUCUUUGUUACAAAAAUACACCGACUCAUGUACCGUUUAAUUUUUUUUUCAAAAUGAUAGUUGAUUAGCUAUAAUCACAAGCUACCUUUUUACAAAAAUUCAUCACUUUCAUAUGUAACUAGAACCGGCAAUCGGUCCGGCAUGCAGGUUUACCACACUGCUUUCACACACAAGCUGGCCUCCAUUACAAACUCCAACGGCAUCGCAAUAAUGUCAUGGAAAAGCGAAAGCAGCAUUAUGGGAUUAAAUAUCUCUGUUUAAACGGUGAUCAAAGGUCUAAAAAUCUGAAAUAUUCUAAUUAUUGCUAAUACUGAAGUCUAGCCAGUUCCUGUUCCUGUCUGCGGUUUUCCCUGUUGUUUCCUUGUCUAUGUUUUUUGAUGGUUUACCAGUGUUUUUGACCUCCGCAUGUUUUUCGGACUUAUGAUUGUGGAUUACUCUUUUAUAAAGUUUGCAUUUGGAUCCCCAUUCUUUUUGUCCUUGUGUAGACUGUGAUGAGGUCAAAGAAGGUGUGUCAAAAAUAUGUUUUAUUUCUUUAUCUUUUAAUUUGAAUGUAUUACUACAGUUUUUAACAAUAGAAGACAUGCACUCUUCAAUAAAUGUAAUUCAAUACAUGCAUUUAAUUUAUUGUCUUUGUCUUUUUGAAAAAUAUUGGUUUACAUCUUUACCCUUUUCAAGUAAUUGAUUUAAAAAUUAUAACGUAAUAUUUAAUUAACAGGGGUCAUAGCGUGAAAAUCUGACUUUUUCCAUGUUUAAGUGCUGUAAUUGGGUCCCCAGUGCAGUUGCCAUACCCUAGCAUUCAGACAAAACACCAGAAAUCAACAGGCUAUAAUGAUGCUCAU